AUGCGUGUAUUCAUAGUGAUAAAUCCAGAAAUAUUAAAUCUUAUAUUCUGCCUUCUUUGGUCUAACAGCCUAAGAAUGUAUUCCCAUAUGUUCUCCACACUUAUGCCAAAAAUGGUGUCAAGAUGUAAGAGUGUCAACUCUCUUCCAAGAAGAUCAUGCUUUGCACUUUUCCAUCUGGGAGUUGCUGGGAUCCAACCAGUUAAGAACUUGGAAGAAAUGAGGUGCAGUCAAGGGCUCAACCUAAACAUGAGGAGGAAAAUGGCAGAAAUGUGGCUGAAUUCUGGCCACAGUGAAAUGACCAACUCAGUGCAACCACGUGAGUGAUUUCAAGAGAGACCAAGAGAAGAAUCACAAGGUAAUACAGAGAAUGAUGAAAAAAUAAUUAUUUUUUAUUUAGGCUUCAAAAUUUGGGAAUGGUUUUUAAUCCAGUAAUAUAUUAACUGAGAAAUGAUCCCUCUCAGGGAAGGCCUACAUCCACCGGGUGGUGGAUAGAGGGGUAGAAAGCCUGGUUCCUUUUUGUCAAUUAAAGACUCUUUGCAGGAUCAUCCUAGCUUCACAGUUCCCCAUAAGGUCAACUGAAACAUCUGUAGCCAUGUAUCACAUUUCAGUUUCUCCCUUUGCUGUUGUGCCUCCUCAUUUCCUUAUAUGUGUUGUUCCUAGAAGAUUUCCCAUUUCUUCUCAAUCAGUGCUUUAUGAAGUAUUUAUUUGCUUCCAACGCUGCAACUCUUACAAUCAAUUCUUACGAUCAAUCUUCAGCCAUGUAUGCCCUGAAUCUGUAUCUGCCAAAGAGGUAGCCAGCUACAGGUUGACCUGUACCUUGAGAUAUAAAUUCAGAGUUUUCUAUCACAGCUCUUUCUAUCAUUGCUCAAAGUUUUCUAUCAUUGCUCAAUGAUUGUGUCAUUGUAAUAUGAUCAACGUCAUUCAGCGCAGAACACAACCAAUAACCAAUCUUUUUACCAUAACCAUUGAGUGUCAUUUAUUCUUGUCUCCCAAUGCCUUGACCUCCAUUUGCAUUCAAGCCCAUGGCAGUGUCAGUGAUAAUGUGUGCGAUUGUGACACACCACUCUACACCAUAUUCUGUUAAAUCCCAUUUCUUUCAACAUGGAGAUUUUCUGAGGAGUCAUUAGGUGAACAUUUUUAUUCCAUAAUCUGGUUUCAUGGGUUUUUUCUUAAGGCCACCCUAGUACUAAUUGUCACAUAAUUUGAGUAGAAAAAGACAUGGUACAUAUAAAAGGGUAAUUUAAAAAAUAAUAAAAGCCUGUUUACAAUGGUAUGGAAAAGAUUAAGGAAAUUAAGAGGGGAUGGUACAGCUUCCAGAAACUAGCAAAAGCAAGGAGUCAUUAAUAACCCUAGAUCUGUAGAUGAUUUGGGAGAGAACAGUGCUACUGGAAACCAGGAAUUGUUGUAAUUCCAGGGGCAAAGCCACCUAAGAAAAGCUAAAGCCAUAAGUGAGAAAACAAACUUUCUUCCAAUCCACAGUGAAAUAAUGGGAAGGCAGGGAGUUAUACAUCUCUUCUUGCCUUCCUACUUUUGUUUGCGCCCCGUCGAUACCACUCAACUGAAAGCCAGAAAGCAUAAAGGCCUAGGUCUUACCAUCUGUAGGAAUCAGUCUCCCAGAAUAAAGUAGAGGGCAGAGAAAGAAAUAUAAAGUGGAGUGCAGAUAUGGAGAGACAGAGGAUAACCAAAUCAAGUGGCAUGCCCCUUUUCUAUCUUUACUUUUUUAUCAACCGUAUUUCUAUUCAAUUCCAGUCAUCUUUGUUUUAAUUUGGUGACUGUGGCAGACUUCAAUUUGAUUAUCUUCCUUUCUUCCUGGAUCUCUGCUUCCAUCCUUCAUUUCCAAUUUCUGUCUUUUCUUUUUUUUUUUUUCCUGUCUUUUAUUCCUUCUCUGAAACAUAGUCGAUGUCUGAUAAAACCAAAGCAUGGUUCAAAAGACGAUGUUAAAACAUAGCCCCACAAUCUCAGGCCUUGCAAUUUAGUUGUUCAGUUGUGAUAUGGGUACCCAUAAUUAUACUAAAAACAUUUUACAGAUGUGAUAACUAUUUCAUGAGGACCUAUUCAGUUCCAGUUACCUCAUUCCUUAUACAUUUACAGAAAAGUCAUUAUUUUACCUCUGAUGACACAUGUAAAGAAAUGCAAGAAAUCAUUUGCUUUACACUGAAGAAUGUAUAAAAUAUGAGUAUAUAUUAAUAUAUAAAAUGCACAUAUUUAGUAUGUUAUAUGCUGAUAUACAUCAUUUUACAUAUCUUUUAAACAAUUAAUUAGAUACAUAGCUUAGAUUAUUAAUAGCUUAAGUGGAGAAUCUACACCUACACUCUUUCUGAAUUCAGUAGCAAGUUCAGCAUGAUGCUGGAUAUCCACUAGGUAAUUUCUAAAUGCUUAUUGGCUUUACUUAGGUUUUUCUUAGGAUUGGUUCCUAUGAAUCAGAUUUUGAUAAAACUCUUGCAUUUUUAUAACCAUACAGUUAGGAAAUAUGAUCAUUCUUGUCUUAGAUUUAGUUUGCAUUUUAUACAUUAUCACUUAGAAACUUAAAGAAAUAAAGCAUGUUUAAGGCAUAUUCAAAACACUGAUAAAAAUCCUGUUUAUAUGGUAAUUUGGGAACACUAUAAAUCUCACAGGAUUUUUGAAAUUCAUAGAAGAGAUAAAUUACUUAGAAAGAAAAAAGUGUGAAUAUCAAAUAUACUUAACUUUUUUAUUUUCUAAAAAGUUGAUUUUUUAUUUUUACUAGUGUGUAUUUUAUUGAGUAUACAAUAAAAACAUUUUUAAGAAUAAGCUAAAUCAAAGUAAAUAGGAAGGUAGUUCUUAGAAAUGGGGUGAUUUUCAGCCCAGCAUGGUAGCUCACACCUGUAAUCCCAGCACUUUGGGAGGCCGAGGCGGGCAGAUCACCUGAGGUCAGGAGUUCGAGACCAGCCUGGCCAACGUGGUGAAAUCCUGUCUCUACUGAAAAUACAAAAAUUAGCCAGGCGUGGUGGCUUACGCUUGUAAUCUCAGCUACUCAGGAGGCUGAGGCAGGAGAAUCACUUGAACCUGGGAGGCAGAGGUUGCAGAGAGCGGAGAUCUUGCCACUGCACUCCAGCCUGGGCGACAAGAGUGAAACUCCGCUCAAAAGAUACAAAUACAGUAAAAUGUAGCUCUAUCAUUUAUAUAUGCAGAUGUGAAACAUCUGUGGCU
ensembl:lncRNA